UACGUAGGGGGCUAGCGUUGUCCGGAAUCAUUGGGCGUAAAGAGCGUGUAGGCGGCUUGGUAAGUCCGCUGUGAAAGUCCAGGGCUCAACCCUGGAAAGCCAGUGGAUACUGUCAAGCUAGAGUCCGGAAGAGGCGAGUGGAAUUCCUGGUGUAGCGGUGAAAUGCGCAGAUAUCAGGAGGAACACCAAUGGCGAAGGCAGCUCGCUGGGACGGUACUGACGCUGAGAAGCGAAAGCAUGGGGAGCGAACAGG
rnacentral:rRNA from 1 species